AUUGAACGCUGGCGGCAUGCCUUACACAUGCAAGUCGAACGGCAGCACGGGAGCAAUCCUGGUGGCGAGUGGCGAACGGGUGAGUAAAGCAUCGGAACGUGCCCAGUCGUGGGGGAUAACGUAGCGAAAGCUACGCUAAUACCGCAUACGAUCUGUGGAUGAAAGCGGGGGACCGUAAGGCCUCGCGCGAUUGGAGCGGCCGAUGUCAGAUUAGGUAGUUGGUGAGGUAAAGGCUCACCAAGCCGACGAUCUGUAGCUGGGCUGAGAGGACGACCAGCCACACUGGGACUGAGACACGGCCCAGACUCCUACGGGAGACAGCAGUGGGGAAUUUUGGACAAUGGGCGCAAGCCUGAUCCAGCAAUGCCGCGUGCAGGAUGAAGGCCUUCGGGUUGUAAACUGCUUUUGUACGGAGCGAAACGGCUUCCACUAAUACUGGGGGCUAAUGACGGUACCGUAAGAAUAAGCACCGGCUAACUACGUGCCAGCCGCCGCCGUAAAAC
rnacentral:rRNA from 1 species